GGGCCCUCCGCCCCGCGCGCGCGCACAACAGGUCCUUGUAGGAGCGCGCCGUGCCACGCGGCGCCGGGGAUGGGUCUGCACUCGGACAUGAGCCCGCUUGUUCCCCGCUCGCCGUGAAAAGAGUUUUGAAAUGAGUUCUGAAUAGACAGCAUUUUCUUUGUGCGAGUGGUAAAUAACCCAGAGCGGAGUUACCGAGUUGCAGCUUCUGCAUUCUGAAACUCCAUGGAACUUUUUUGUGGGGAGAAAGGCAGGAUGUUUUUUACAGAAUGUGACCUCCCCGGAACACUGGAGGUGAGGAGAAAACGCUAGUGAGAUAACGGUCACUGCUUUACAUCUGGGAAAAUACAGCUUUUAACAAAGCUACAAGAGGAGAGAAGAUUCCUACCUCCCACCCCAAACCCAUGCCUCAUGGAGUUUCCCCAGAAAGCGAUAGCAUCUCUGAAUGGGGCCGUGUGGAGAAACCCUAAGAGAAACAGCAUAAGAGCAUUUUGGAAUAUAUCCCGCAAAAGAUAACUUUCUACACAUCUGGCAGAGAUUCUCCAGGUAAAGUGCCUUUGAGGAGGUGUGCUUUUAACACACGAACUGGAAAACAUCCCAUUUCCUCCACCUGUUUACUGGUGAGUGAGAUGAGAGGCAGGGAGGAUGGGAGAAGCGUGGCAGAUGGUGGGUCGCAUAGGGGGUGUGGGAGGUCCAGGGACUCAGUCUUGGAUCUUCUCUUUGAA
rnacentral:lncRNA from 1 species